AACUGAUACUACCUGCGGGAACCUGCGGAGGGAUCAUUAGUGAACGCCCUCGCGGGCUUAUAACUAUUCCAAACCUCUGUGAACCGUGCCCUUCGGGGCUAUUUUACAAACAUGGUGUAAUGAACGUCAUAUAUCAUAACAAAACAAAACUUUUAGCAAUGGAUCUCU
rnacentral:misc_RNA from 1 species